AACUUGUGCACGAAUGCUCAUAGUAGUAGUAUUCAUAAUAGGCAAAAAAAAUGGAAACAAUCCGAAUGUCCAUCAACUGAUGAAUGGAUAAAUAAAAU